GACGAACGCUGGCGGCGUGCUUAACACAUGCAAGUCGAACGGAAAGGCCCUGCUUGCAGGGUGCUCGAGUGGCGAACGGGUGAGUAACACGUGGGUGAUCUGCCCCUUACUUUGGGAUAAGCCUGGGAAACUGGGUCUAAUACUGGAUAGGACCAUGCUGUAGGUGGUGUGGUGGAAAGAUUAGUUUCGGUAAGGGAUGAGCUCGCGGCCUAUCAGCUUGUUGGUGGGGUAAUGGCCUACCAAGGCGUCGACGGGUAGCCGGCCUGAGAGGGUGGACGGCCACAUUGGGACUGAGAUACGGCCCAGACGCCUACGGGAGGCAGCAGUGGGGAAUAGUGCACAAUGGGCGCAAGCCUGAUGCAGCGACGCCGCGUGGGGGAUGACGGCCUUCGGGUUGUAAACUCCUUUCAGCCAUGACGAAGCCCUUGUGGUGACGGUAGUGGUAGAAGAAGCACCGGCUAACUACGUG
rnacentral:rRNA from 1 species